UAAAGGUCUUCUUUUCAUAUUUUUUGUUUUAGUGUAACGUUCUGAAAGUUAUGAACCUAGAUGGCUCGACAACAGCAACAUAAACUGGACAACCACGUAUGCCCUGAAAUAGAAGGGAAAUUUACUUUAUAAGUUCUCCCAUCUUUAACAACAACAUAUUAGAGGAAGAAUUUAGUCUUAAAAGACCAACAGUACAUGGAUGGCUUCCAUUUAACCUAAGGGUAAUCUAGUAGCUCCCUUCAGCUAUUUAAUAGGAUUAUCCUAUCUAACUUAAUUAACAAUGCACUCGCUACUUGCCAUUUUGGAUGGCUAAAUGGUUAAUCCAUGUAUAACUGGAUCUUUUAGCUAUACAGAAUACUGAGGUGUAUGUUGGCUAUAGUAAGUUCAUUAUAGAAAAAAAAUAUAUACCUAUAUAGGAUCUAUCAACUUUAGUAGUAAAGGAGUAGUCCUAUGUGAUUUAUGAAAUUG
rnacentral:lncRNA from 1 species